UCCUACGGGGGGCAGCAGUGAGGAAUAUUGGUCAAUGGGCGGGAGCCUGAACCAGCCAAGUUGCGUGAAGGAAGAAGGUACUUAGUAUUGUAAACUUCUUUUGUCGGGGAACAAAGGCGGAGACGCGUCUCCGGAUGAGUGUACCCGAAGAAAAAGCAUCGGCUAACUCCGUGCCAGCAGCCGCGGUAAUACGGAGGAUCCGAGCGUUAUCCGGAUUUAUUGGGUUUAAAGGGUGCGUAGGCGGUUUGAUAAGUUAGAGGGGAAAUGUCGGGGCUCAACCCCGAAACUGCCUCUAAUACUGUUGG
rnacentral:rRNA from 1 species